UAACCUGCCUCUUAGCGGGGGAUAACUAUUGGAAACGAUAGCUAAUACCGCAUAAAAGUCGAUAUCGCAUGAUGUUGACUUGAAAGGUGCAAUUGCAUCACUAAGAGAUGGACCUGCGUUGUAUUAGCUAGUUGGUGAGGUAACGGCUCACCAAGGCGACGAUACAUAGCCGACCUGAGAGGGUGAUCGGCCACGCUGGGACUGAGACACGGCCCAG
rnacentral:rRNA from 1 species